UGGUGGGUAGUUUGACUGGGGCGGUCUCCUCCUAAAGAGUAACGGAGGAGCACGAAGGUUGGCUAAUCCUGGUCGGACAUCAGGAGGUUAGUGCAAUGGCAUAAGCCAGCUUGACUGCGAGCGUGACGGCGCGAGCAGGUGCGAAAGCAGGUCAUAGUGAUCCGGUGGUUCUGAAUGGAAGGGCCAUCGCUCAACGGAUAAAAGGUACUCCGGGGAUAACAGGCUGAUACCGCCCAAGAGUUCAUAUCGACGGCGGUGUUUGGCACCUCGAUGUCGGCUCAUCACAUCCUGGGGCUGAAGUAGGUCCCAAGGGUAUGGCUGUUCGCCAUUUAAAGUGGUACGCGAGCUGGGUUUAGAACGUCGUGAGACAGUUCGGUCCCUAUCUGCCGUGGGCGCUGGAGAACUGAGGGGGGCUGCUCCUAGUACGAGAGGACCGGAGUGGACGCAUCACUGGUGUUCGGGUUGUCAUGCCAAUGGCACUGCCCGGUAGCUAAAUGCGGAAGAGAUAAGUGCUGAAAGCAUCUAAGCACGAAACUUGCCCCGAGAUGAGUUCUCCCUGAGACUUUAGGUCUCCUGAAGGAACGUUGAAGACGACGACGUUGA
rnacentral:rRNA from 2 species